rnacentral:rRNA from 1 species
UACGUAGGUGGCAAGCGUUGUCCGGAUUUACUGGGCGUAAAGGGAGCGUAGGCGGAUUUUUAAGUGGGAUGUGAAAUACCCGGGCUCAACUUGGGUGCUGCAUUCCAAACUGGAAAUCUAGAGUGUCGGAGAGGAAAGCAGAAUUCCUAGUGUAGCGGUGAAAUGCGUAGAGAUUAGGAAGAAUACCAGUGGCGAAGGCGGCUUUCUGGACGAUAACUGACGCUGAGGCUCGAAAGCGUGGGGAGCAAACAGG